GUUUGUUAUUAAAAAUUUUAAAUCGCGAAGUUUAACGAAUACUUGCGUCAUUGAUUUUAAGAAGAAUAUGAAUUAAAAGUUUAAAACCUUGGAUAGUUAUCAAUAAAUAAAUCUAUCGUGGUCAUGUGAUAAUGUCGGCUCCUGAUUUUUCAGUGACUGGUGUCCAAAUUCCGGUACAAAAGUUAAAAAAUUUAAAUAAGAUAAAAUUACAACUGAAGCAAACCAUUCUAUCCGAAGGAAAUGAAGUCAGAGGAGGUUGCAUUGUUCCGAAUGGAAACUUGGUUUUUACGGACUACUCGGAAACCCGACAAUGUCUGGCAGUUUAUAAGAAAGACGGAACAUUUCUGUGUGAUAUUCCAUUAUCACCAGCGUCAGCGUUCGGUAUUGUCUCGUUCGUAAAAAGCACUGUUGUUGUUUCUGGUGGCCAUACCAAAACCAUUUCAGUAAUAGAUGUCAAUAAUAAGAAAAUACUGGCCACAAUUCAAACUGAUUGUGGUUGCUAUGGUAUUACAAAGCAUAAAGGACAGAUCCUAUUCUGUGGUGAAAACGCUGGACUUCUCAAGUACGAUGUUGACAGAAAAACAAUUGCAUUGUUCUAUAGUGAUAAAACAGUAUCCACUUAUUCAAACAUUAUUUCAAAUGGAGACAAAAUAUGCUAUACAAACCCUAACGUUGUAACCCUCCUAGAUUCUCAGGGAAAGAAAAUUUUCCAAGUUCGGGAUGACGAUCUGAUAAAAUCUCCACGAGGGAUAGCUAUGGAUGAAUUCAUGAACAUAUAUCUUGUUGGUUUAGAUUCUCAUAACUUAGUUGUUAUAAGCCCUGAUGGGAAAGACAAACUGGAGUUACUCUGUAGAAAGGACUGUGGACUAAAGUUUCCCGCGGCAGUAUAUUAUGAUAGCGGACAGUUACUUAUAUGUCAAGGAUUCGGUUGGGCAUUUCUAUAUGCAGUUAAAUGAUUUAAAAACAAUAAAUAGCUCCUUUUAAUUGUGUUGGCUUUUCAGUAACCACAGGUGCUGGCUCCUUAAACAAUUGCCAGAGGUUUUGUUUUCAAAGAACCAAAUUCACCAAUACAAUAUUUGGUCUAUAUAUAAGCUUAUAAUUAAAGAUACAAUUUUACAUUUAUGUAUUUCAAAUUUGCUAUUUAGUGUUUAAUAACCUUUGUAUUCUCUAUUUCAAGUAUUCAAUAUUUGACAAAUGGA